UACUGUCAGUAUUACCUGUAUAGGUAGCAGUAGGUUACUGUCAGUAGUACCUGUAUAGGUAGCAGUAGGUUACUGUCAGUAUUACCUGUAUAGGUAGCAGUAGGUUACUGUCAGUAGUACCUGUAUAGGUAGGUUACUGUCAGUAUUACCUGUAUAGGUAGCAGUAGGUUACUGUCAGUAGUACCUGUAUAGGUAGCAGUAGGUUACUGUCAGUAUUACCUGUAUAGGUAGCAGUAGGUUACUGUCAGUAGUACCUGUAUAGGUAGCAGUAGGUUACUGUCAGUAUUACCUGUAUAGGUAGCAGUAGGUUACUGUCAGUAGUACCUGUAUAGGUAGGUUACUGUCAGUAUUACCUGUAUAGGUAGCAGUAGGUUACUGUCAGUAUUACCUGUAUAGGUAGCAGUAGGUUACUGUCAGUAGUACCUGUAUAGGUAGCAGUAGGUUACUGUCAGUAUUACCUGUAUAGGUAG